CAUGCUGACGCAGCUCCCUACUUGAACUGUCUGUUAGUUUUAGUUGCUUCCUACAGCUAACUGUUUGGAUACAAAGUCAGAUCACCUGUGAUUUUAGACCUUAAUUAGUUGUCAGUCAAGGAACACUUUGAACACCUGCAGGUCUCGCCGGCUCUAGGAGGUGAGUGAUUGGAGAAACGCUUUGCUGCUCUGGGUAUCACAUGGCAUAAAAGCACUGAUCUGAGCCCACUGCUGCUUCACGGUGUAGCUGCUGCACGGGAGGGGGGCGGUUCAUUCCAGCAGGACUGCCUAGAAGUGCCGCCUCACCCUCUGUGUCUUUGUACCUAGUGCCAGCAGCGCUGUAACAGGAGAGGGGCUGAAGGAAGGUGUGGACUGGCUGCAGGAUCAGAUCUUCUCCUUGAAAACAUGAGAAAAUACAGAGAAAGAGAACCUGAGAGAAACAGCAGCUUGUAGAGAUGUCUCACAGCAUUCCCUGAACAUCUGGGCUGCUGUUAAGUAGGAUAAAGUCCUUCUUGUAAUUCGCAUACACAAGGAACAUAUUAAUAAAUCUUUUAUUUGGUGUGUAUCAGUAUA